AUGCUCUGCUCAUCACCUACAGGUGCAAUUUCCUGCUCACAUGGGCACACACGAAGCCCACUGGAACACAGAGUUCUCGUUGAAGUUAGAGGUAGCCAACGAUGGAGACCCUGACUAUAUUAAUUGGAAGUCGGCAGAGAAUAGUGUGCAGCUCUCAUCUCAAGUGACGGAGCCAGGCAAGAGGAAAUGAGACCAGGAAUGCAGAGACUACUGAAAGAAGCAAGAAAAUUUGGUAGGGAGAGUACAUGGGGAUGAGCUUACCUUGGAGAGCAGAAGAAAAAUUCUGAGGCGUUCCUUGUGUCAAGGAAGAAAGCUGAUCAUUCUUGAGUCAGAUAGGUUCCAACCUCCUGGAAUGGGAAGAGUUAAACUUUUCUUGCUGAAUCGGAGAGUGGAUUGGGGGCUUUGUGCUGGUUGAAUGUUUGUAAGAAGUUAAUAUGGGAUAAGAAAUGGAUAGUUGAAAAGGACCUGGGUUAGGGAUAUCAGGAUAUCAGAAGUGAUGAAAAGAGAAGACUGAGUGUGAACUACAGGUUAGGGAUCCUGGGGAGGGAGAGCUUAGUGAAUAGACACUGAGUUGUUACUUCGGAGUGUAUGCAGGGCAAGAAAGCUACGCUGCUGAUGUCCUGGCCAAAUUUCCACCUCGGGUGACCUAAGGAUUUUAUUUUAUUUCAGUGGAAAGAAGAUACGCAGGGGGCCA
rnacentral:lncRNA from 1 species